GUCUAUCUUUGGUUUAAACCAGUAUUUGCAGUUCCUUCCUACAAAUUUAAAAUCCAUCCCCGCCUAUGAUACAUUCUUGGAAAACUGAUUUUGCUUGUCCGCUAAGGAAUGUCAGUGAAACCAGUCGAACAUUCCAAGAUUAAUUAUAGUAUAGAAAAGGAAGGGACUUUGACCUAUAGGCUUAAUAGAAGCAUAAAGGGCGUAUGAAUAAAAUGCCUGGGUGAUUCAUUGACUGAUAUCCUGUUUGCUUUCUUAACUUGCCCUUUUCAACAGGUGGAAAAGGUACUCAGACUCCGCCCAUGGAUGGCAACAUUCUUUUUCAGAUAUGUGGGGGAGGAGUCUUGCUUUGACUGAAACUUUAGAUUAGGUUUGAAUGAGUAAACCACUUUCUCACCGGGCUUGAGGUAGUCACAUAAAAGCUUUGUAAAUGUCAAAGAAUUGGGUUUGAGCAGCAUUUGGGUAUGAAUCUCGUACACGUUUUACAUGUAUGAAGAUGCGAUGAUCCUACAAAUGGUAAAUGUGGAGUGUUCAAGACUGUUUCAUAAACGGUACACGGAAAAAAUAGCCUGCAUUUCCACUGACCAGCCCACAGCACGUCCUUCCUUUCUGUCGGUUGUUUGCUUGUAAAGCAUGUUGAUCCGUACUUCACUUUCCAAAACAAUGUUUUUUUUUUGCAUAUAGUGGAGUUUGUUCCCUUCUAUACCCCAAGAGAGGAUAAUUUGGGUUCUGAACUUUACAGAACAGGAAAUCAUAAUAAAUCCCAACCUGUGGCACUGUGGAAAUAAAUAUGGAAACUAAAACUGGAGCAAAAUAUGUGGAAAUAUAGGUUUGGAUACAUUUCUGCUUAUUCACUAUCUGUGGUACCAUACUAACUACAGUGCUAUUUCUAUAUAUAUAUAUCUUAUGUGGAUACUUUUACUCUGAAAAUGAUCAAGCAUUGAUCAUUGAUUGAACUUGUAAACUGAUGGGAUUUGCUUUUGGGCAGUUCAGCAACACAAUUUUAUUUAUUAACAAAGGAACAAAAGUCAUGCUGCUUUGACUUUUAGAAAUACUAUGUUUGAAUGACAACUAAAACAUAAUGAGGGUAAACUGGUUGAAUGAAGAAAGGAAUUAACUCACUAGUAUCGCUCCCAACUGUUGAGUCAAAACAUUAUGAGAUUAUGUUUGACAAGAGGCAGUUUCUCUGUGCAAAACCAUUAAUUACGGUUAGAUUGUCACACAGGUGGAUACUCAAAUCCAAUAGGCAUGAAGUGAAGGUCUUUCUUUCCUACGCAUCUGAUACUCUAGGCAGAGGGGGCAGCAACAUGAUAUUGUAGAAUCUACAUACCUUUGUGUCCCGGAAUCAAUGUCCUCUGGGCACAAACCACAGGAAUUCUGGCUUUGAUAGGGUGACAUGAAUGGGAAGGUUUCAUUUUGGAUUUCUCUUUCAUGAGGGAAAUAAAUAUUUACAUGUUAGUGGUGAAUUGUUUGGUACUUAGGUAUCAGCCAUGAUUGAAUGGCAGAGUAGACUUGAUGGGCCGAAUGGCAUAAUUCUGCUCCUAUUACUUAUGACUUUAUAUGGGUGACUCUUCAAUGUUAACCCAGCCAUUCAGGUAUACAAAGGAAUCCGAGAAGGAAAAACAAAAUUAGUAAGAAUCUUACAAAGAUAAUUUGUGGUAUCUCAUGGCCUCCUUCUUCCCUCAAGGAAGUACUGCAGAACCUUCAACAUCAAACAAGCUGCAGAGAGAAUGCUUUGUGUGCAUAUCUUGUACAUCUAUGUGUGCAUGCCACCACAAGCUUCCUUACAAAUAACACCUUUCAACGGUUAUCCGAAAGCCAAGGCCCUUUAAACAUUUGGCAGACCUAUAAAUAGAAACUAGUUUUGAGACACAAUAGGCUGAUUGGCAUCAGAUUUACGCAAUUUGAUUUUCAUGUCUAUGUUGGCAGACAACUGCUUUCCAGAUAUCCAUCCCUGCUCAGUGAGUGUGUUGUUACCAUAAGCACAACUGCGGAACAGCUUUAUAUUAAACUUCAGAUCUCCUAAAGGAUAAGAAAGGUUUAUAGGGACAUGGGCCAAACAUGGGCAAAUGGGAUUAGCUUAGAUGGGACAUCCUGGUUGGCAUGGAUGAGUUGGGCCGAAGGGACUGUUACCUAUGACCCUAUCCCUGUACUGCAAGAAAACCCAACCAUCCCCACAGUAUUACAGGCUCUGAGUUACAAGGCAGUAAUUAUCCAUAAAUAAGUAUCCUUGUCUAUAUCUGUUCUAAUCAGUAACAAUUAGGAGCACCUUUGAACUAUAUUUACCAGGAAAACUCAAAGGAGGAUUUAAAAACAAGGCCUUCCAAAGUGGAUAAUCCAACGGAAGAUGUUCAGCGGAAGAUUUUUUUUUCACACUGUAAGGAGAUGAAUGAGAACAAUUGGCAUUUCGGACUGAUGUACGGUUACUAUUUCCUCAAAGUUUGAAAAAUCUACAUAUUAAAUUAUUGGAAUAAAAGAAAAUAUUUCAAGAUCAUAUAUCCAGUUAUACUCUUAUGUUUAAUUUCACAUAUGUUCACUUAUUAAGAGAGAGAGAUACUGGAAGUGCAGAUACUGGUUUACAAAAAGAGAUGCAAAAUGCUGGAAUAAUACAUUGGGUCCGGCAGCAUCUCUGGAGAACAUAGAUAGUUGACAUUUCUGGUCAGGACUUCUUCAGGCUUCAUGUACUGUAGUAAGAUGUGGACAUAAGGAACUACAGAUGCUAGUUUACCAAAAAAGAUACAAAGUGUUGGAAUAACUCAGCGGCAGCAUCUCUGGAGGACAUGGAUAGUUGAUGUUUCUGUAGUUCUGAUCAUAAAAUCAUAGAAUGACACAGCCAAUAGCAGGCCCUUCAACUAAACUCCUUCAUGCCAACCAAGGUGCCCCAUCUAAGCUCGCACAAUUUGUUUGCAUUUGCCCCAUCUAAGAUCACCCCAUUUGCCUGCAUUUGGCCCAUAUCCUUCUAAUCCUUACCUAUCCAUGUCUACUCGAAUGUCUCUAAAUUGUUGUUAUAUACCUGCCUUAAUUACUUCCUUUGACAGCUCGUUCCACAUAUCCACCAUACUCUGUGUGAAAGGGUUACUCCGCGAGAUUCUAUUAAUUCUUUCCCCUCUCAUCUUGUAGUUCUGCCCAAUCUCUCCCUAUUGCUCAACCCAAGGAAGGUUGAACUUUACAAAAUCAUAAAGGAUGUAGAUUGGGUGGAGAAGGGUCUGAAGUAUGAAGAAGGGUCUCGACCCAAAACGUUGCCUACUUCUCUCCAUAGAUGCUGCCUCACCCGCUGAAUUUCUCCAGCAUUUUUUUGUCUACCUUCGAUUUUUCCAGCAUCUGCAGUUCUUUCUUAAAUA